GGGUGAGUAACGCGUAUCCAACCUGCCCGCCACUUGGGGAUAACCUUGCGAAAGUAAGACUAAUACCCAAUGAUAUCUCUAGAAGGCAUCUGAAAGAGAUUAAAGAUUUAUCGGUGAUGGAUGGGGAUGCGUCUGAUUAGCUUGUUGGCGGGGUAACGGCCCACCAAGGCAACGAUCAGUAGGGGUUCUGAGAGGAAGGUCCCCCACAUUGGAACUGAGACACGGUCCAAACUCCUACGGGAGGCAGCAGUGAGGAAUAUUGGUCAAUGGACGAGAGUCUGAACCAGCCAAGUAGCGUGCAGGAAGACGGCCCUAUGGGUUGUAAACUGCUUUUAUAAGGGAAUAAAGUGAGUCUCGUGAGACUUUUUGCAUGUACCUUAUGAAUAAGGACCGGCUAAUUCCGUGCCAGCAGCCGCGGUAAUACGGAAGGUCCGGGCGUUAUCCGAAUUUAUUGGGUUUAAAGGGAGCGUAGGCCGGAGAUUAAGCGUGUUGUGAAAUGUAGAUGCUCAACAUCUGAACUGCAGCGCGAACUGGUUUCCUUGAGUACGCACAAAGUGGGCGGAAUUCGUGGUGUAGCGGUGAAAUGCUUAGAUAUCACGAAGAACUCCGAUUGCGAAGGCAGCUCACUGGAGCGCAACUGACGCUGAAGCUCGAAAGUGCGGGUAUCGAACAGGAUUAGAUACCCUGGUAGUCCGCACGGUAAACGAUGGAUGCCCGCUGUUGGUCUGAAUAGGUCAGCGGUCAAG
rnacentral:rRNA from 1 species